AACAGGAGCUAUUUUGGGAAUUCCAACUCCAAAUGCCACAUCUUCUAAUGUUGCUCUUCGUUAGUGUGAAGUUUCAUGAAGUUUGGAGCAUUUUGAGAUUUUUGAAAUUUUUGGUGUUGUUUCCAUGGCAACAUAGUAGUUCCAAUGAGUGCCAAAAUCAUCCAACACCUGUAUAUAGUGGGCACCUACAUUGUAUCAAAAUAUAAUGAUUCUGAGUUAAAGC
rnacentral:lncRNA from 1 species